rnacentral:rRNA from 1 species
GUGGGGAAUCUUCCGCAAUGGACGAAAGUCUGACGGAGCAACGCUGCGUGAGUGAAGAAGGUUUUCGGAUCGUAAAGCUCUUUCGUUAGGGACGAACGUGCUCUUUGUGAAUAAUGAGGAGUAAUGACGGUACCCAAAUAAGAAGCCACGGCUAACUACGUGCCAGCAGCCGCGGUAAUACGUAGGUGGCAAGCGUUGUCCGGAAUUAUUGGGCGUAAAGCGCGCGCAGGCGGGAUAUCAAGUCUGUCUUAAAAGUGCGAGGCUCAACCUCGUGAGGGGACAGAAACCGGUAUUCUUGAGUGUCGGAGAGGAAAGUGGAAUUCCAAGUGUAGCGGUGAAAUGCGUAGAGAUUUGGAAGAACACCAGUGGCGAAGGCGACUUUCUGGACGAUGUCUGACGCUGAGGCGCGAAAGCUAGGGGAGCGAACGGGAUUAGAUACCCGAGUAGUCC